ensembl:lncRNA
AUAUAUAUUAAGUAUAUUCCUCCUUUCUCCAUACAUUUGAUACGAGGAGAUCUGCUAUUGGCUCUCCAGCCUUUAGUUCUCUUCCUUCAUAAUAACUUCCUGUUUAAGAAAACCACAACUUGGACCAUUCUCAGCCAUGCAGAUUUGAUGUGAGGGGCUGUAUAGCCACCUAUGAUUAGAACCUGAUUUCCCUUCCCCUGAACACAGUAAUUGGUUCAAAGGUCGUCACAGGACUUAAGUAAGUCCAAUCAGAGGUCCUUUGAUAGGGAUUCUGGGACACAGCAUCCUUUCUCUUCCGUCUGUGUUAAUGAGGAAGCAUGUUCCUUUCCCCCAGGAGCUGCUGUUGUGUAUGACUCUGUGAUGCCAGGCUUCUCCGUCCAUGGGAUUUCCCAGGCAAGAGUACUGCACUGGGUUGCCAUUUCCUUCUCCAGGGGAUCUUCCCGAUCCAGGGAUGGAUCCCACAUCUCCGGCGUUGGCAGGUGGGUUCUUUACCACUGAGCCACCAGGAAAGCCCUCCCCUUCAAAUACAUGAGCUAAUAAAUUCUUUUUCUUUCUAAAGACAAUUUGGGAAAGAUUUCCUAAUGCUUACACCUGGCAGAUACCUAACACAAUUGAUACUAUUUGUGAACAAACUGCAGCAAACUAACACCUUUCUUUCCACUGAUGGCUUUCUUCUUAUUUACAAAUUCUUCCUCCUCUAUAACCCAUGGGGUUUUCUGCCUAUCAAACCCACACCUGCUUCUCAUCACUGCCUUUCUGCACGUUUCCUCUUUUCCAUGUAUCCCAAACAUCCAAACUCCCUUUCUUUUCAAAGCUGCCAUCCCCUCUCCAGCCCUGGGGAAUUUUCUGUUUCCAGGAGUGACAAAGACCUAGGACACAAUCGCCCCAUUUCCUUUUUCUUUUCUUUUCUAGAAGGCAGUCACUCGGGACUUUCAGACCUCAGGAAUUGGCUGUCACGCAUCUCGAGGAAACAUUCAUGGAAGCAAAAUUACAAACACAGGAUGCUUUCACGGUUGCAGAAAGCACUUGCUAUUGUUGUCUUUGAGCUGUAGGAUCUAGUUCCUGGCUGGUUCCAAGGUGUCACCCUCAUAUAACGUUGAAAAGCUGGCCUGAAAUGCUUAGCCAAGGAAAUUCAAGCUUGUGUCUCUACUAGGUCUGGGAAUAUUCUGAGUUGCAACCUAAACUUGCUUCCUCAUUUCUGUGGCAGGGAUAGCAAAUAGAUUUCAUCUCGUCUGUCAACUCUGAUCAAUAAGUAUUAGGACUGAGAUCCAAGCUAAGAAAGAUUCUGAGGCUGCCUCUGGCUUCAGCGAGAAAGUCUUCUUACUGGUGAUUGGAAUCGUGAUGUGGGCUGCGUGUGGUAUUAGCAGAGGGGUGUGUAGUCCGUGAGCGUCUCACCUGGUACUCUGAGCUGGUAUCUGUGUUUCAGAGACAGCUGACUCCGCCUUGACUACUGUUUUUGAUCUAACAUCUCAUCUAAGCCCUCUCUGAAUCCAGGAUCUGCUGGUCCCAUCUCUCCAGAAAGAGAACUUCCUGACCAGGGAUAGAGGAUGGAUCUGGAGUCGUCUGUUUUUGCUCUCUACCAUGUGAGAGACGGAGGAGUCAUAGCUAAACAUCUGCCCCUCACCCACUUCAAUCUCCUGUCAUCAGCUGCCACCAUGACUACAGAACAAAAACAAGGAGGAAAGAGGACGUAAUUCAGUCAUCUGAAAAUGGUAUUCGAGAAGCGCCACUUACUGACUCACCUGGAAAUAAAACGUCUUGACAUUUUGGGAGUCAGGAUGAGCUGCCCAUUCAGAUAAUUUUCUAUAAAUAUCUCCAGGCAUAGCCCUCAAGCCCCUCUUACUUCAUUUCUCCACACUCAAACAACUCACAGAAUAAAUUAUGAUGCCAGGGGAAGAGCCAGAUUUUGUGGAAACCAAAGCUUUGCAAUUUAGAGGGAGGCGGGCUCUUUCUUUAGAGAAGAGAAUUAAAAAUUGUGAACAACUAAACAUGAAGUUUAAUAUUUACAUGAAAUGGGAAAAGGAACUACAGCAAGUCACAAAAUUUUAAAAACUGACAAAUACUACAAAAAUCUAGAAAAAUAAUAAUACCAUCAUUAUUUGAUGGCUUGACACAUCUCUUUAAUAUCCUUCUCUCUAUAUUGAUUGGUGACAUACCUCUGUAAAGUUCUUUUUUAAUUUUAAUAUUAAAGAAAUAUUUAGUUUAUUUAAUAUCCAUUUAUUUAUUUGGCUGAGCUAGGCCUGAGUUCAGAGAAGGCAAUGGCACCCCACUCCAGUACUCUUGCCUGGAAAAUCCCAUGGACGGAGGAGCCUCGUGGGCUGCAAUCCAUGCGGUCGCUAAGAGUCAGACACGACUUCACUUUCACUUUUCACUUUCAUGCAUUGGAGAAGGAAAUGGCAACCCACUCCAGUGUUCUUGCUUGGAGAAUCCCAGGGAUGGGGGAGCCUGGUGGGCUGCCGUCUAAGGGGUCACACAGAGUCAGUCACGGCUGAAGUGACUUAGCAGUAGCAGCAGCAGGCCUGGGUUGCAGCACAUGGGAUCUUCGAUCUCCACUGUGGCAUGCAGGAUGUUUUUGGUUUUGGCAUAUGGGAUAUUUUUUGUUUGUUUGUUUCAGCAUGUGGAUUCUUAGUUGUGGCAUUUGGGAUCUAAUUUCCUGACCAGGGAUUGAAUCCAGGCCCCCUGCAUUGGGAGUGUGGCAUCUUAGCCACUGGACCACCAGGGAAGUCCCUGUACACCUUAUAGCAAGAUUACUCAGUCUUUCUUCUAGCCUGGUUGAAUAAAUAUUUUUAUUGAUAUGAUAGAAAAAGUUUUUCAGCCUCAUAACUGGUUACUGAUAAGUCAUGUAGUUUUUUUAAAUUGUCAAAUUUGGGAGAUCCUACAUCAACUUUCUUUUACAUAUAAGCUGUAAGAAUUCAUACGUAUCUCAAAUUCUCUUGCACAGGGACUAAUGUUCAAUACUUUUUGAACUGAGGACCCUCAUUAACCAGUUUGUCAUUGUUUGGGUAGAUUAUGAUGUCAGUAUGUCAUGCUAGAUCAAGAAGAAACAGAUAUCAAACAAUAUAAAAGCUGAUUCUUUCCUUUUAUUCAAAACUUCUCUCUUCUUUGUGAAUUACUUCCUUGGAUAUAAUUUGAAUAAAAACGGAGGAC